rnacentral:rRNA from 1 species
AUUCAAAAGGUUAAUUCCGUUGAAAGAUAAAUUUGCACAAGAUUAGGUUGUUGGUAAAUUAAAAGCUUACCAAGCCUACGAUCUUUAGUUGGUCUUAGAGGAUGAUCAACCACACUGGAACUGAAAUAAGGUCCAGGCUGACACGUCGGCCAGCAGUAAGGAAUAUUGGACAAUGAACGAAAGUUUGAUCCAGCAAUACUAAUUGGGUGAUGACGGCUUAUUUAAGUUGUAAGAUCCUUUAAUUAAAGAAGAUAAUGACACUAUUUAAUUGAAUUUUAGUCCUGGCUAAUACUCGUGCCAGCAGCCGCGGUAAUACGGGAAGGGCAAGCGUUAUUCGGCAUGAUUGGGCGUAAAGAGUCCGUAGACUGUAAAGUAAGUUUUUUGUUAAAUCUUAAGACCCAAUCUUAACUUUGCAAUUAAUACUACUUUACUUCGAGUUUAAUACAGAAAAGUAGAAUUUUAUACGACAGGGGUGAAAUCCGUAGAUAUAUAAAGGAAUGCCAACAGCGAAGGCAACUUUUUGGUAUAAACUGACGUUGAGGGACGAAAGCGUGGGUAGCAAACAGGAUUAGAGACCCUGGUAGUCCACGCCGUAAAUUCUGAGUGCUGUAAUUUAAUUGUAAUAUUUCUUUAUUACUUAGAUUUUCAAGCUAACGCAAUAAGCACUCCGCCUGAGGAGUACGAUCGCAAGAUUGGAACUCAAAGGAAUUGACGGGGGUCUAACACUAGUGGUGGAGCAUGUGGUUUAAUGCGAUAAUCCGCGCAAAACCUUACCAAUUCUUGACAUAUUUAAAUUAUUAUAUAAAUUAAUUUGGUUUUUAUGUAUAAUAUUUUCUUACAGGUGUUGCACGACUGUCGUCAGCUCGUGUCGUGAGACGUCUGGUUAGGUCCUGAAACGGGCGCAACUCUUACUUUUUACAAAGUAUUUACAAAUUAAAAGCUUUUAGUCAAUAAAAGUCUUUUAAACGCUUUAAAAGUACGGUCAACGAUAAGUUGAGGGAAGGUAAGAAUAAAGUCAAGUCAAUGUGACCCUGAUGAAUUGGGCUACACAUGUGCUACAAUGAAAAUUACAAAAAGUGACAAAAAAGAAAUUUUGAGUUAAUCAACAAAAAUUUU